UGGGGAAUAUUGCACAAUGGGCGCAAGCCUGAUGCAGCCAUGCCGCGUGUAUGAAGAAGGCCUUCGGGUUGUAAAGUACUUUCAGCGGGGAGGAAGGUGUUGAGGCUAAUAACCUCAGCAAUUGACGUUACCCGCAGAAGAAGCACCGGCUAACUCCGUGCCAGCAGCCGCGGUAAUACGGAGGGUGCAAGCGUUAAUCGGAAUUACUGGGCGUAAAGCGCACGCAGGCGGUCUGUCAAGUCGGAUGUGAAAUCCCCGGGCUCAACCUGGGAACUGCAUUCGAAACUGGCAGGCUAGAGUCUUGUAGAGGGGGGUAGAAUUCCAGGUGUAGCGGUGAAAUGCGUAGAGAUCUGGAGGAAUACCGGUGGCGAAGGCG
rnacentral:rRNA from 1 species